rnacentral:rRNA from 1 species
GGCUCAGGACGAACGCUGGCGGCGUGCUUAACACAUGCAAGUCGAACGGUGAAGCCCUUCGGGGUGGAUCAGUGGCGAACGGGCGAGUAACACGUGAGCAACCUGCCCCUGACUCUGGGAUAACUACCGGAAACGGUGGCUAAUACCGGAUACGACUACUGCAGGCAUCUGUGGUGGUGGAAAGUUUUUCGGUUGGGGAUGGGCUCGCGGCCUAUCAGCUUGUUGGUGGGGUGAUGGCCUACCAAGGCGACGACGGGUAGCCGGCCUGAGAGGGCGACCGGCCACACUGGGACUGAGACACGGCCCAGACUCUUACGGGAGGCAGCAGUGGGGAAUAUUGCGCAAUGGGCGAAAGCCUGACGCAGCGACGCCGCGUGGGGGAUGAAGGCCUUCGGGUUGUAAACCUCUUUCAGCAGGGAAGAAGCGCAAGUGACGGUACCUGCAGAAGAAGCACCGGCUAAAUACGUGCCAGCAGCCGCGGUAAUACGUAGGGUGCGAGCGUUCUCCGGAAUUAUUGGGCGUAAAGAGCUAGUAGGCGGUCCGUCGCGUGUGCUGUGAAAACUUGGGGCUUAACUCCGGGCCUGCAGUGGGUACGGGCAGAUUAGAAUGCGGUAGGGGAGACUGGAAUUCCUGGUGUAGCGGUGAAAUGCGCAGAUAUCAGGAGGAACACCGGUGGAGAAGGCGGGUCUCUGGGCCGUAACCUGACGAUGAGGAGCGAAAGCGUGGGGAGCGAACACGAUUAGAUUCCCUCGUAGUACACGCCGUAAACGUUGGGCGAUAGGUGUGGGGCUCUUUCCACGAGUUCCGUGCCGCAGCAAACGCAUUAAGCGCCCCG